AUACGUAGGGGGCAAGGCGUUGUCCGGAAUGAUUGGGCGUAAUGGGCGCGUAGGCGGCUUUGUAAGUCUGGAGUGAAAGUCCUCUUUUCAAGGGAGAAAUUGCUUUGGAAACUAUAGAGCUUGAGUGCAGGAGAGGUUAUCGGAAUUCCCGGUGUAGCGGUGAAAUGCGUAGAUAUCGGGAGGAACAUCGGUGGCGAAGGCGGGUAACUGGACUGCAACUGACGCUGAGGCGCGAAAGUGUGGGGAGC
rnacentral:rRNA from 1 species